GUUCCUUCCUGUGUCACCGUGAGUAACUGAAUGGAAAAAUUUUGGUCCUGGAACAGAAGUCAUUGUGCUACCAUUGCUGAAAGAAUCAGGGGGAGGCUCUCACACAGCUGGAAACAGCCUGAACCUCAAAUGUGAAACCUCUGAUUUCCAGUUCAAGACAAGCAAACUUGGCUGGUACCUUUGGGCACCUAGUCAUGCCCCACUGGGACUGACCAAUCUCGACAGUAUUUCUACAGAUGCCACUGAAGACCGGAUCAUCACCUCCACAGAGGAUAGUGGGAGGAGAAUUUUCCUACAGAUUAAGGACUUGAGCCUCAGAGAUUCUGGCCAAUACCAUUGUGUAAGGAACAUGGGCACUGGAGAUGACACAGACAAAUUGUUCUUUGGUCUUGGGACAGAUGUGACUGUGGAGUCUGGAACAACCUGAGGAAGAAGGUCUAAGAAACUACUACUUGGAUUCUGGAUCUCUUCUGGGGACUCGAAAAUGACCUCUGGAUAAUCUGAAGAUAACUCCAGAAUGACCCCAAGAAGCCAUAAUUAAACCAGUUACAUACAAUCCCCUUUGAACUGCAAACUCUUCAGUCCUGAGUCUAUAUUUCCCUUGAUGUAGUAUUCCUAAUUACCUUAGUCCUGCAAUAAAGACAAGAAAGCCUUCUCUAGGCUUCUAUAUAUCA